UUUGCUACAUAAAUCCCACAGUGGCGGAGUCGAAUCAAUGUUGUUUCUUUGCUUUCUUUUUCUGUUUGUAGUGCGGCAUGGUAUGAUUUAGACGCCCAAGCCUUAGGGAAGGAAGGUUCUUUUACUGGCAGAAAGUAUUGUUUAUGAGGAAUGCCCAUGAAUGGUUAGAUUUGGAAGGGAAGAGAAAGAUAUUAGGAUCUAUGAUCUGUUCAGUUGAUUGAUGAUUUGUUGUUCUGUAGACUGGCCUCCUUUCUCUUCGAUAGUUUUCGUAAGUAAUUCUUAGAAACAAACAUGCAGGAUUCCAUGGGUUGGAAGGGUUCCAAAGGUGGUUUUCCUGAGAAAGUAUUUUCUUAACUACUUGUAGAUCCAUGAAAUAUUAAUACAAUAGUGCUUUUGUUUCAGUUUGCAACAUUUCACUUACAAUGCCUCAAAAUUUCAUUAGUUUUAA
rnacentral:lncRNA from 1 species